CGGGCGAAUUUGGUGGAAUUCAUUUGCGAAUUCCGGUUUCAACUUGUUUGGCUGCCACACAUUGACCAUUGGAAUUGAAUUGUCGUUUUCACCCAAAUCCCUGCCUCCUCCCCGUCAUUCCUGUGGAUUUGCCAGCUCUCCUCCUCCCCGACACCACUCUCCCUCCCCAAUCCUGCUCCUCCCCAUCCAUGGCGCUCCGAUUCGCCGCCACCAGCGAGCCCUCCCUCCUCCGCCGAUCCCUCUUCUUCAUUUCUUAUCCUUUCCCAUCUCCUAUUCCUCACCUCCCCCUUCAAUCCCCCGACCCCCAGUUGCUCCGCCCCGUGCUCCGUCCUGCUGCCGGGAGCAGCGUCCGAUGACCACAGUUGCCCCGCCCGGACCUCCGUCCUGCUGCCGGGAGCAGCGGCCGGUGACCCCCAGUUGCCCCGCCCGCAGUCCCUGAUUUAGUACCGGAUCGACCUCAAGCACACGGGAUCUGGACACCUCCAGAGGAGAUUGACAUCUUGACCAUCUCUGCACCUUAUCCCUGUUGAGGGCAAAUUUUUGGCAAGAUGUCGGACUUGCACGUUAACAUCAUUGCAUCAUGAUGAGAGGAGGAAGAAAAGAAAGAGGGCAGCAGCUGGAUUUUUUGUGUCGGUUGUCGUGAUAGUUCAACACACCUAUUGUCGGAGGAGGAUUAGAGAGCUUGAUGAUUUCAGCGAGGAUGAGACGGAGAUUAAGAUUAGAAAGAAUAUGCUUAAAUAAAUUUAUCAAGGUUCUAAUAAGUACUGUUAUGAUAGUUUGCGCCUAACUACAUGGUCCUUUGUGGACCUAUGCGCUAUCUUGCGUGAAAGAUGUGGUUUGUGCGACACUUUUGUGUAUCAGUCGAAGAAUCAGUCACAAUCUUUUUGCGAGAAA